rnacentral:rRNA from 1 species
CUACGGGGGGCUGCAGUGGGGAAUAUUGGGCAAUGGGCGAAAGCCUGACCCAGCAACGCCGCGUGAUUGAAGAAGGUCUUCGGAUUGUAAAAAUCUGUCCUUGGGGACGAAAAAAAUGACGGUACCCAAGGAGGAAGCCCCGGCUAACUACGUGCCAGCAGCCGCGGUAAUACGUAGGGGGCGAGCGUUGUCCGGAAUUACUGGGCGUAGAGGGUGCGCAGGCGGCGCUUUAAGUCAGAUGUGAAAUACCCAGGCUUAACCUGGGGGGUGCAUUUGAAACUGGAGUGCUUGAGUGCAGGAGAGGAAAGUGGAAUUCCUAGUGUAGCGGUGAUAUGCGUAGAUAUUAGGAGGAACACCAGUGGCGAAGGCGACUUUCUGGACUGUAACUGACGCUGAGGCACGAAAGCGUGGGGAGCAAACAGGAUUAGAUACCCUCGUAGUC